rnacentral:rRNA from 1 species
UUAGGUCGGGAACUCAAAGGAGACUGCCAGUGAUAAACUGGAGGAAGGUGGGGAUGACGUCAAGUCAUCAUGGCCCUUACGACCAGGGCUACACACGUGCUACAAUGGCGCAUACAAAGAGAAGCGACCUCGCGAGAGCAAGCGGACCUCAUAAAGUGCGUCGUAGUCCGGAUUGGAGUCUGCAACUCGACUCCAUGAAGUCGGAAUCGCUAGUAAUCGUGGAUCAGAAUGCCACGGUGAAUACGUUCCCGGGCCUUGUACACACCGCCCGUCACACCAUGGGAGUGGGUUGCAAAAGAAGUAGGUAGCUUAACCUUCGGGAGGGCGCUUACCACUUUGUGAUUCAUGACUGGGGUGAAGUCGUAACAAGGUAACCGUAGGGGAACC